CAGUUUAAAACCAAGGGAAGGUAGUGUAAAUCUACCACUGUGCCGCAACCGUUAUAGUCGGGCUGCUUGGAUCCUU
rnacentral:ncRNA from 2 species